GGUUUACUCAUUGAUGCAGGUCUUUAAUUGUUACCUUUAAUUGAUAAAAUUCUAGUCAUCUUGACUAUUUUUGAAAUAUGUCUCAUUUCCUUAUUUCAUAUUAAACUCAAGACAAUGAAAAACAAAAAACAUAAACAUUAAAUAUACAUGUAGUUUGUUUAUUUGCUGAUCUACUCACAGAAAGACACUCACAAAUAAUUUAAAAUAUCUUAACAAAGGCUUAAAGCCUAUUUGCAUAAAUUAACAUAAGUUAACAAUAAGAGUUAAGCAUGUUAUUACUGAUUUGCAUAUACAAAUUCUCUGAACACAUUGUGCUUCUAGAAUUAAAUCAUAGUUUCAUAAUUGGUUCUUUAUGCAUGCAACACUGAACAUUUGACUGUUAUUUUUAAAUGAGUCCAAAAGAAAACAGCUGAUCUCUCAUUUCUUAUUCAACCCCAUCUUAGCCUGGAAGAAAACUCCAUCACCAAGUGUAGAUUGCUACAAAAGAUGAAAAAAUAUAUAAAAUUUUAAAUGACAUAACAUCACAGCAACAGAUGAUAAUAUAUGUGCAGACUGUUGCGCCUC
rnacentral:lncRNA from 1 species